rnacentral:lncRNA from 10 species
ACUGAGGGUGUCACCCGGGACCGCGGCUCAGGUACCCAAGCUUCUCCGCGAGUCCAGCGCUGCCACUCGGCGGCCGCCGCGGGCGCGGGGAUCCUGGGUCGCUCCGCCUUGACCCACGCGCCCCACGCCCCGGGACUUACACCUGGGGUCGCUCCCCGCACGCGCGGGCCUCGCGCCGGUGCCGCCGCAGCGCCCCCUGCAGGCCGGAGCCGAGCUGGCCCAGGCCUGAGUCUGGCCCGGGGUUCCGUGGCCCCAGUGCCGGCCCCGCGGCUGCUGCUCCGGCCCGGCCAGGUGCCUUCGUGUUGAGGCGAAAGGACUGGGCCUCAGUGGGUGAAGGGACCGGGUGGCCCGCUUCCACCUAGGGCAGAGGCUGGAUCGGCCGCGGCGAGGCUGGGCCCAGCAUUACUGGGAGGGGAACUUGAGAGCCGCGGGUUGAUGUUCGGAGCUCAGGCGACGACUGACCACCCACCCUUCCUCGAAGAGGAACAAUGGCUUGGGUUUGGUUUUUAAUUUUUGAUUCCCCCACCUCCCCUUUCUUGAUUCCAAAGGAAAUAUAGCAUUCAAGCGCCAUGUCUGUUGGGAAUAUAUAAUUCCUUGGCAAAGAAAGAGGAAACAUUUCUCUGAUAAACACAAGAAUCUCAGUAAGAAUUGCAUUAUUGAGAACUUUUCCCACUGAUAAAGUAGGGAAGAGGAAGGGGAAAAUAGGGUAAGGGAAUGCUGGAAGACAAACUUUAAACUUUAUCUCCUUUUUUUUUUUUUUUUUUGUCGAUUGUUGGUGCAUCCUGUUGGUGUUCCGAGAAGUUGUGGCUCAGCUUGCUUUGUCUACAUUAGUGGAAUCUUUAAGUCUUUCUGGUCUGUCUCAGCAUACUCACUGGCAGGCCCUAGACUACAUUACCCAAGUCAUUUUGCCGUCUUGGAAUCCUGAGUAUGUCAUCACUCUGUAUUGGAGAUGAGAUUGCUCAGAAACACUGAAUUCAGAAUGGGAUCUAGCAAGAUGGUAUUUCUGGAGCAAUAAGUCAUUUACUGAAUGAUUAUGCAAAGCAUAAAUUGCAUUGUAGUCCUAGAAUAAUACAAAGCUUCCCUUUAGUUGUUGCCGUAAAUUAAUAACUGGCAUUUUAAUGCACUAAAUGAAUUUUAGUAGUUAGAUUUAUAUCUUUGACUUCUAGGAAUUUCAACUACAUUAGAGUUCAUAUACACAAAAGGGGCAAGCCCUUUUCCACAGCAUUUCCAGCUUCUCCACAGAAACCUAGCCCCACAUGAGCAAAAGAUCACACUCUGUGCUUCAUCAAAGAGAUUACACAAUUACAGAUUCCAGCAUCUCCCAGGAGUCCUUUGAAUUUGGAUUAAGGUCUAUAAUUACGUGGGUAAGGGAAUAACUAGGUAAUUGGCUUUCUGCACCUGGAAUGUAUUCUCCUGGGUAUAAGAGGCUCCUUUUAAUCAGAAGUAUAUGGGAUGAAAGUGAACCCUGUCUCUUAAGGGGAGACUCCUUAAGAGGAGGAUUGGGGCCCUGUGUUUUAAUAGAUCUUCUCCACAAUCUUUAAUACCUAAGCUCCUUCCCCUUGUCCACUAAUUUGCUGUAGAAUUUUUCUAGCAUGUUUAUGAUGGUGUUCAGGGCACACUACCCCAAAAUAUAACACCUUGGCAUAUUGAAUGUUUUAAGCUGAUGGAAUUUGAGAAAUGGCAGGUGUGAGGACUCUGACCUUCCCAUGAAGCAGGUCAUAAGACCCUCAUGUGAGAGAUGCCCUCUCUAUACCUGGAGAAAAGAAGCAGUCUUAUUUGUGAAGACAGAGAGACGCCAAGAGGAAUCUAAAUGAAUAGGCCUUGGAACCCCAGACGCACGGGCCUUGUGCUGUCGCUGCCGUGGCACCCCUUCUAGAAGGACUCUAUUCUCUAUAACAGAAGUGGGAGCCUUGGACAACUGAACGCCUAUCUCUAGCUCAAGAAAUGUCAGCUCUUUUUUUUUUUUUGAGACUGUCACCCAGUCGGGAGUACAGUGGCGCCAUCUUGGCUCUCUGUAACCUCCACCUCCUGGGUUCAAGCGAUUCUCCUGCCUCAGCCUCCUGAGUAGCUGGGGCUACAGGUAUGCACCAUCACUCCUGGCUAAUUGUUGUAUUUUUAGUAGAUAAUGGGGUUUCACCAUGUUGGCCAGGGUGGUCUCAAACUCCUGACCUCAGGUGAUCUGCCUGCCUCGGCCUCCCAAAGUGCUGGGAUUACAGACGUGAGCCACCAUGCCCAGCCAAGAAAUGUCAAUUCUUUAUCGUAGCCUGGCUUUCCAUAUUUCUCACUAGGGUUUUUAUUCUCUAGUUUGUAAAUCACAUUUGGCGUUUGUAGAUCACUCCUUCCCUUUUAGUGGCAUUCUCUAUUAGGUGUCCAUCUCCCAAUAUGAAGAAACAGUUUUCUGCUUUUUCCUCCUUUAUCUGAUCCAUUUACAGAUUUAUUACAUUUAUAAUAGGCUAGGUAUUGGGGAUACAAAAAUGAAUAAGAUAUGGUCUGUUUUCAAAGGUAUGCAGAAACUUUUCUAUAUAUUCCUACUGACUUGUAUUUGUAUUUCUUGAAUUAAAAACAAUCCUGGCUGUGUUUUUUUUUUUUUUUUUUUGCUCUUAGUGAAUCUUUGUUUCUUCUUUUCAUUAUGGCAUUCCAGUUGAGUUUCACCACGCAUUAUCAUGAGAAUAAAUAAUUUCACUGACUUUAAUAAUAUUUGAUCACUUAUGUUGAUGUCAUUUAACUCUCAUUUACAUUUCAGUGGUCUAAAACACAACUAAGAUACUAAAAGAAAAAUAAAAGAUGAGAUUAUUGGCAAAUAAUUACCACAUAGUCAACUCAUGAACAAUAGUGCAUGCACUUACAGGAAAUUCUCUGAUUGUCACAUAAACUAUUUGGCUGUUGUUUCAGACAUGCUGUAAUUUCUGUAGUUAGACACUUAACUAGUCCACAGCAGAUUAGAAACUAUGAAUCACAAGGCAAGGGAAGGAAAUGCUGUUAAUAUAGGUAGUUUGAGAGGAGCAAUCUCUAUUAGUUGGCAGAAUAAGCACAGGAAAAACAAGACAAUUAGAAAAAUGAAUUAAAAAUGCACGGUAUUCUGA